CCUACGGGCGGCAGCAGUGAGGAAUAUUGGUCAAUGGACGCAAGUCUGAACCAGCCAAGUAGCGUGCAGGAUGACGGCCCUCCGGGUUGUAAACUGCUUUUAGUUGGGAAUAAAAGGGGGCUCGUGAGCCCCGUAUUGUAUGUACCAUCAGAAAAAGGACCGGCUAAUUCCGUGCCAGCAGCCGCGGUAAUACGGAAGGUCCGGGCGUUAUCCGGAUUUAUUGGGUUUAAAGGGAGCGUAGGCCGGCUUUUAAGUCAGCUGUGAAAGUCCGCGGCUCAACCGUGGAAUUGCAGUUGAAACUGGCUGUCUUGAGAUGUCGAGAGGUAUGCGGAAUGCGCAGUGUAGCGGUGAAAUGCUUAGAUAUCACGCAGAACCCCGAUUGCGAAGGCAGCCUGCCAAGCCAUGACUGACGCUGAUGCACGAAAGCGUGGGGAUCAAACAGGAUUAGAUACCCUUGUAGUC
rnacentral:rRNA from 1 species